GACGAAGGUGGCGAACGUUAUCCGGAAUUAUUGGGCGUAAAGGGUGCGUAGGUGGCCUGACAAGUUAUCAGUGGCAAAUCGAGGCUCAACCUCGUGGAAACUGGUAAUACUGUUCGGCUUGAGUACAGGAGAGGUUAACGGAACUCUAUGUGGAGCGGUAAAAUGCACAGAUAUAUAGAAGAACAUCAAUAAAGGCGAAGGCAGUUAACUAUUCUGUUACUGACGCUGAGGCACGAAAGCGUGGGGAGCAAAACGG
rnacentral:rRNA from 1 species